rnacentral:lncRNA from 1 species
GUUUCGGUGUGGUGAGUGAAAUGGAGAAGGCUAAACUUUUUCUUCCCACAUGCUCACUUCCUUGCUUGUUCGCUAGCUGCUGCAUCUGGCCCCUCAAGGGUAAAGUCAAGGGGAAAAGGAGAUUGAGAGGAAGGACAGUCUGUGAAUUGGUGAGUGCAAUUGUAAUUUUCUGGCGCUUACUUUCUCUUUUCUACUCCAUCCCCCACCCACCACCGGCCAACCACUGCUAGAGUCCGGAGUCCUCCAGCUGCUCCUGAGAUUCUGGGAAUACUUCCUCUCUAGCAGCAGCUUUUAACAUCCCUCUUGGGUCCCUUUUUGGUGCAUUAAGUUUCUUUAAUAAAUUAAGUGUCCCCAGAGGCCUACUGCAAUCUUCUCUCAUAGUCCCUACAGCCUCUAGUAAAGUUCAAGAUACACUGCUGGCAUUUGCCUCUGAUGUGUGAAUUGAUGUCCUACCUUCUUCAGUGCUGAACCUCAAACUUGCUUUGCACACUAUAUCUGGCAUAAACUAAGAAUAAGAGAUAAGAGCCUUUGCCCAAGUAUAUCAUUCAGGAGACUGGAGUUAGAAAAAAACAAGCCACUACAUCAACAAGGCUGGAGUUUUUUAUUAUUAAAGGAGUGUGUGCAUACACGUAUGUGUGGGUAGUCAUAUUUAUUAAAUACUACCCAUAUGCAAGCCCAGUACAUAAAUAACUUUAUUAUUAAUAAUAAAAACUAAUACUAAUUUAUAACUAAUACUAGGGUUAUAUUUUUUAUUAUACACACACACACACACACACUCACACACAUAUAUAUAUAUUUUUUUUCUUUUUUCUUUUUUUUUUUUGAGACGGAGUCUCGCUCUGUAGCCAGGCUGGAGUGCAGUGGUGUGAUCUCGGCUCACUGCAACCACCUCCCAAGUUCAAGUGAUUCUUCUGCCUCAGCCUCCCGCGUAGCUGGGACUACAGGCGCACGCCACCAUGUC